CAAUGUGCCUACGGGUGGAACCUUUUUUGGCCUGAAGAUGAGCUCGCGUCUGAUUAGCUAGGUGGUGGUGUAAUGGACUCACCAAGGCAACGAUCAGUAGCUGGUCUGAGAGGAUGAGCAGCCACACUGGGACUGAGACACGGCCCAGACUCCUACGGGAGGCAGCAGUGGGGAAUUUUCCGCAAUGGGCGAAAGCCUGACGGAGCAAUACCGCGUGAGGGAGGAAGGUUCUUGGGAUUGUAAACCUCUUUUCUCAGGGAAGAAAAAAAUGACGGUACCUGAGGAAUAAGCAUCGGCUAACUCCGUGCCAGCAGCCGCGGUAAUACGGGGGAUGCAAGCGUUAUCCGGAAUUAUUGGGCGUAAAGAGUCCGUAGGUGGUCUUACAAGUCGACUGUCAAAGCCCGCAGCUUAACUGCGGAGAGGCGGUGGAAACUGUGAGACUAGAGUGCGGUAGGGGUAGAGGGAAUUCCCAGUGUAGCGGUGAAAUGCGUAGAUAUUGGGAAGAACACCGGUGGCGAAAGCGCUCUACUGGACCGUAACUGACACUGAGGGACGAAAGCCAAGGUAGUGAAAGGGAUUAGAUACCCCUGUAGUCUUGGCCGUAAACGAUGAAUACUAGGCGUUGUCUGUAUCGACCCGGACAGUGCCGAAGCUAACGCGUUAAGUAUUCCGCCUGGGGAGUACGCACGCAAGUGUGAAACUCAAAGGAAUUGACGGGGGCCCGCACAAGCGGUGGAGUAUGUGGUUUAAUUCGAUGCAACGCGAAGAACCUUACCAAGAUUUGACAUCCCGUGAACUUUCCAGAGAUGGAUUGGUGCCUUCGGGAACACGGAGACAGGUGGUGCAUGGCUGUCGUCAGCUCGUGUCGUGAGAUGUUGGGUUAAGUCCCGCAACGAGCGCAACCCUCGUCCUUAGUUGCCAUCAUUAAGUUGGGCACUUUAGGGAGACUGCCGGGGACAACUCGGAGGAAGGUGGGGAUGACGUCAAGUCAUCAUGCCCCUUACAUUUUGGGCUACACACGUACUACAAUGGUCGGGACAAAGGGCAGCAACCCCGCGAGGGCAAGCGAAUCUCAUCAAACCCGGCCUCAGUUCAGAUUGCAGGCUGCAACUCGCCUGCAUGAAGGAGGAAUCGCUAGUAAUCGCAGGUCAGC
rnacentral:rRNA from 1 species